UACGAAGGGGGCUAGCGUUGUUCGGAAUUACUGGGCGUAAAGCGCACGUAGGCGGAUUUUUAAGUCAGGGGUGAAAUCCCAGAGCUCAACUCUGGAACUGCCUUUGAUACUGGGUAUCUUGAGUAUGGAAGAGGUGAGUGGAAUUCCGAGUGUAGAGGUGAAAUUCGUAGAUAUUCGGAGGAACACCAGUGGCGAAGGCGGCUCACUGGUCCAUUACUGACGCUGAGGUGCGAAAGCGUGGGGAGCAAACAGG
rnacentral:rRNA from 1 species